GUGAGAUUAUACAGUAUUUGUCUUUCUCCCUCUGGAUUGUCUCACUUAGUAUAAUGCCUGCCCUCCCGGUCUGUCCAUAUUGUCACUAAUGGAGGAUUUCUCUCAAGGCCGUGCAGUGUGAGGGCAUCUACUGCAUCUCCAUGCAGCUGUCCACUGUCAUCCAUGCUCCACUGCAGUAAAAGGACAACUCUGAGUCCCCUCGCCCAUCCAGCCAUUUCCCUCCUCUGUCACCCAAGGACCUCAGCCUCCUGGAUCUGAACCACGUCUGUGAGGUUUUUUUAAACUUGAAUGGCGAGCUUUCAUUGCGUGGGAUAGUAAAUAACUGUGUGGCAAAGGCCUUCAUUACAAACCAGAAAUCAAGAAAAUCUCAUUUGGAUGGAUACCGGCUCUGUUGGUGGCUGCAGAGUGCUGUUCCCUAGGCAGGUUCCAAACACUGUGACAUGGGGUACGUGUUCUGCAGCCACUGGGCGUGGGGGCCAGAGAAGCUGGGAAACAGCACCAGCGUCCAUCACCGUCCGCUCAGGGCAAGUUCACGCACGUGCUUGCUUUGUGAAUGUGGUGCCAGUUUCCAGAUGUGUAAAAUGAGGGUGAGGAGAGCACCUGCUUUCUAGGGUCCCUGCUCUCAAUCACGAGGCCAGGGUGCCCUGCUAGGGUGGAGCCUCUUUCAUGCUGCCCUUCUACUGGUCCCAAGCUCCUUCCAUCAUUUUCCUCUAUGGACAGUUUACCAAACCUGCUGAGUCAUCUUUAUGGAGCUUGGUCCCCCUUCCAUAAAGUGAAGGGCAGGAAGGCUUUGUUUUCUGCUUUUCCGGAAAAAAGAUUCUUAAACUAGAAUAGGGAUGGCGAGUUUCCGAAUUUAGGUGGCGGGCCAGUGGUUGUGCGCGCUAACAGCCACCCAUGGCCUCACUCUCCCCACAUGGUGCCGCUCCUUUCAGUGGGGGGUCCCUUGGGGGCUUGGAACAGGGGAAGCUCUGCACAGACCUACUGACACCUGAAACCGGCGAGAGCAGUGCCGCUCACACACUCAGAGACGCAGGCAGAAUCAGUCAGUCUCACCACGAGGCAGUGUGCACAGAGCGCCCUGUGACUGCGAGUGGGGACAGGGCCCGGCCUCUCAGCGCCUCUGUCCCUGACUGUGACACCUGCAUUCCCAGCACCGAGCAUCACCUAGGAGAUGCUGAGGAACCCAGAAGGGACAGGCCUGAGGCUUGCUGUGUUUCCUCGCAGGUGGCUGGGGACAAGGGCCCGGUCACUGCUCCCUAACCACGCACCCGAGCCGCCAUUUCUGCCCACCUCUGUUCAGUGAGUGCAGCGGGAGGGGCGGCCUGGGCAGCUCCAGGUGAGGCAUCAGGCCCUGUCACCCACACACUCUCAGGGUGGCUGCUUUGGAUGACCACCGGGCCCUGGGACAAGGCUGAAGACCUUUGCAGGUCAGGCAUCACCUGUGACAAAGGCAUGUGCUCCCAGUCACUGGGUGAGAACAUUCCUGACCCUCUGCAGGUGCUGGGCGUGGGGGGCUUUGGCAGUGCUGCAGUACAAGGUCUCCAGCCCUCCUAGAAGGUGUGGCUGCAGGAGGUCAGAGCGUGAGGAGGGGGAACUAGGCCCUGAGAACUGGGUGGCAGGGACAUUGACCAGCCAGAAUGGAUGCUGUUUGUGCACCAAACUGCUGUGUCACGGCAGGCACAGUGUCUAACCUUCAUGCUGUCUCCUAGGUGUCACCCUGGAGCAAUGAGCGGCACAUGCAGAGGAACACAGCAGGUGGGCCCCUGCCCGGAGGAGCCAGAAAACCAAACAGGUACAGUGCACUUGUCAUCACAGCACACUCUCCCAAGAUCAGAGAGUUGGCAGAGUGAGGCCAGGCUGUAGUCAGACCCUGCAAGGUGGCUGUGUGUCACUAAACCACCACAGGUAGUUUCUACUUACACCUCAAGCCACCAGGGCAGAGCAGGGAGCCUCGGGCCUCGCCCAGUUUGGUGUGUGUCGUAGAGGGGAAGCCAGACUUCUCACAGGCCUUUAGAAUUGAAUCACUCCAGGUCCAUGGCAUGCACAGCCCUACAGGGAUAGUCCAGAAGUUUUCUUGGACACUCAAUUAGCAUGGAAUAAUUUUUCCAAAGUGUCUCUUCAAAUGAUAGGAGUUUUGGCUUUUUCUGCAGGUUUCCCAGGCUCUUCCUUUCACGGAACCCCACUCCCUGCAGUCACCUCCCACCCCUGGAGACCUGGAACCUUGGCCUGAGGACCCUUGCUCUCCUCAACUCACAGAUGCCAUGUUUUGUCUUUGUGAUUUCCUUGACAUUACAGCCAGGUGACACCCCUCCUCUUCUAUCCUGUGGUUUCCACUUCCUACUGGUGUAACUUUGCACAUUUGCAGCUCCUCAAGUGGCCUACAAGCUCCUUGAAGACAGGAAGUACUGAUGCAGCCACACAGCACCCGGGAGAGGCCCUCCUGCUAGCUCUGGCUCCUGCCUUUCUCUGACUACCUGAGGUUUAAGGCUCCUUUCGAGUGUGUGGAUGAGUCUCCGGUUUCCUUUGAUUGGACGCCCUGCUCCACUGAGGCUUCUGCCUUCCAUCCCUGCAAGGUCCAUGGCCACAUCCGCAUCGGCUGCCACAGGUGCUGCUCUCCCACCCCACUCGUCAUGCCCUCUGAGCUACAGGACUUUACUUAGUGGAGCCCCUUGCUCAAAGUUUAUGAAGGACCUCAAGAUGGAGACAGCGGAACAGGAAGCUAAGAGACCCUUCUACCAGUACGUGUGGGAUGCUAAAGUGACACCUUGCCUCACUGCCCAGGAGCUACCAGGUGCAGGGCUGGCUAAGCACAGAUGCCUCUCACAGAUGAGGAAACUAAGGACUGGAGGUUUACACACUUGUCCAAGGACACAAUAAGUGGCAGAGAAGACAUAUAAACCUAGCUUGGUCUGUUUCCAAAGCCUGGCUCUUGACCACAAUGCUUCAUGGCCUUGUGGCUUGUCAUCAAAGUGUUUUAUGAAUCCUGACUUGCCAACACCUCUGAGGAAGGAAAACAUACUUUGAUUUUCCAGAACAACUGGAAGAGCCACAGACAAUCUAAGCUGGAGCUAGAAUUAGAAAGCAAUGUUUUCAUAUUCAAGUUCAAAUAUCAAAGACACUUGGGGAAACUGGUCAUCUACCCAUGGAAGAAUGUGCAUACAAAGAAGCACUUUCCAUUCUCUUUGCCCCAGAUCACAUGACAAUGCCAGAUCACAUGACAAUGAGGCACUGUCAUGUGACCUCUCUGAUAACCUAAGGGGGGGUGGGGUGUAGUGGCAGUCUGCAGCCAAGGGAAAAUCUAAAACUUACAAAGAGAAAAUACCAUGUUCAUCUUUAUCUUUGGUAAGGUAGAAAAUGAAGGAUUAUAUUUUCUUUUAUGUAGUGACUAGCUGACAACAACAUUCUGAGUUGGAAACUGCUCUUACCGUCACUUAAUUACACAGAGCAUUUGUUACUUUAUCAUAUAACCUGUAUACAUGAUAAUUGACAGGGUCAUCAGCAUUUUAGAAUGGCUACGUUUCUGAAUAGUACGAGCAACCCUGGAAGCCAGGAAUGACACUGUUUGCAGUUAAACCUAUGCUUUUGUAUAAAGAUAUGGAUUAUCUUGCAAAAUUAACUUCACAUAUUAAUAAUCUUUUCCUUGAGUUGAAUUGGUGAGGUUUUUGAUUUGUCUAUUUUUGUGGGCGGAAAUAAGUCCCUAAUAGCUACUGCACAAAUUCCUGAGGCUUUCACAAUAUUAGUUGUGGUUUCAAAUAUUUGACAUUCACAUUAAGAAUUAAAUACCAUCCAUUAUAUAACUUUUUUUUCUUUAAAAUUAAAAACUUGCUAUAAAAACACUAAAAAAGGAUGGUAAUAACCAGGAUGUUAAUAUUAAAGCUAUAGAUCUGGUUCAACCAAAAUUUUAAUGUUAACCUAAAACUUUCUAAAAGAAACUGAAAGUUUGCAAAUAGCAGCCUAUAUUUCCCAUCCACAUAUUAACUUUUGAAGUUAUGACAUUUUAUGGAGUAAAAUUUUUGUUUUUCAAUCUAGAAAUAUUUAUGGGUGUCAUCCUAUACAUUAAAAAUUUGCCUAAAAUUAGAAUAAGUGAAUACAUUUCACAACUAUAUUUCAAUACUAUUUGACACAUAAUAGAAGAUUAAGCAAAGACCUUCAUAUUUCUGAUAGCUAUGUUAUCAGAAGUUCUCAAAAUAUGAACAACCUGUGUCAAAUUUUACUUAUACAUUACGGUAGGGGUUGAAAUAUAUUGUACCAAUUUUACGGAGAGAUUUUUUAGAAGCUGAAACAAACCCACAAAUAAAGAGAACUUGAGCAAAACCUCAGGUUUUGGAGGUCUGCCCAGAUUUUGUGAAUUUACUUAUUAAGCAGCAUGGCUGCUGGAAAUCGUCCAGAACCUACGGGCUGCAGAAGAGCAGAGACUACGGGCGGAAGUCCGUCUGCUCUCCUCUGUGAGCAGAAGGAGCACAAAACUCUUGCUGUCAUUGCUAAACAGUUUCCUGAUUCGCUGGACAUCAGGGGUGCAACCUCACACCCUAAGUAAGAGGAAGGACGCUCAGGCCUUCCACAGGUUUGCCAAAUGAGCAAACUAAAGCCCACAGCUCCUGUGAUUCAUAAAAUUCUUGUUCUACCUUUUGAUUUUGCUUUUCCGGCAUCUAUGAAAAAUCAGAAAUCAAAGUACUGAGCUCCUUGGAAGCUAAUACAUCACCCUGGACAGCUCCAAAAUCAUUUCAGAAUUGAUUACAGGCUGGCUGAUUAAAUGUGCAGGGGUGGGCAAACAGGUUACAGUUGUUCAUAUGGAAAAUACCAACUAAUAAAUAGU